rnacentral:lncRNA from 1 species
CCCGGACCCAUGCAGCUUGGGCCCGCAUCAUCGCUUGUUCGGUAACAAAUGAUUCUGAUCCAUUCUGAGAUCUACAAAGGCUGUUACCCUGCAGGUUUUCUUCUGUUUUCAUAGCCAGCCAGAACAAUGUUCUACGCACAUUUUGUUCUCAGUAAAAGAGGGCCUCUGGCCAAAAUUUGGCUAGCGGCCCAUUGGGAUAAGAAGCUAACCAAAGCCCAUGUGUUCGAGUGUAAUUUAGAGAGCAGCGUGGAGAGUAUCAUCUCACCAAAGGUGUGGUUGACCUGCCUGAGGAAAAUCGGGAAGCAGCUUAUAAUGCCAUUACUUUACCUGAAGAAUUUCAUGACUUUGAUCAGCCACUGCCUGACUUAGAUGACAUCGAUGUGGCCCAGCAGUUCAGCUUGAAUCAGAGUAGAGUGGAAGAGAUAACCAUGAGAGAAGAAGUUGGGAACAUCAGUAUUUUACAAGAAAAUGAUUUUGGUGAUUUUGGAAUGGAUGAUCGUGAGAUAAUGAGAGAAGGCAGUGCUUUUGAGGAUGACGACAUGUUAGUAAGCACUACUACUUCUAACCUCCUAUUAGAGUCUGAACAGAGCACCAGCAAUCUGAAUGAGAAAAUUAACCAUUUAGAAUAUGAAGAUCAAUAUAAGGAUGAUAAUUUUGGAGAAGGAAAUGAUG